GGCUUUAUAGUGUAAGUAACAUUAAGGAUUGCAAGUCCUUAGAUGCGAUUAACAGUCGCUAAAGCUU
rnacentral:tRNA from 2 species